GUGAAAAUUUGGGUUCUGGGAGUAUUUUUGAAAGAAAAAUCAGAAACCGUAGGUCAAAAUACAAUUUAAAAAAAUUGCACCAUGUCAGAUGCCCAGUAAGCAACCCCGACCAACUAGGACGUGCCAGGUGGCAGAGGCGUUGACGAUGGAGGCCACGUGGGCGAUCCACGUGCGCGCGAUCGAACGGCUGAGGUCUAUUCCUGCGGGCACGGACGGUCCAGAUUGUUUGGCGAUGAACAGCCCAUAUUCACUUCCUAUUUAAUUACGAUCGGACGGUCCAGAUCAAAAGCGAUGGAUGGCCCAAAUCAAAAGCGGAUGGGUAUAAAUAACUCCAUCCACACCCAAACCCUAACUCUAACCACUAGAACCCCUCACCGGAGAAGACAACCCAGCCGCUAGGGAGCCGACCGCCGCCACCCGCCGUAGCACUGGAACAAUUUUUAACUGCCAAACGAGGUAAAAAUUUACCCUUUGCUUAGAAUUUAAUUUUAAACACAUCCAUGACCAAAUCAGAGCAAAAAGAUAAGCUGAUUGGAUGAAAAAUGCUGGCAAAGUCCGGCGUUGCCGCUGCGGGGUAUUUCAAAAAAAGCCUCCGAUGAUGCCCUUCCUGAUUCCCAUUCGAUGUAAUUUUUCUACCGUUGUGAUCACCGUUUCCUUCUCUAUAGGUCAACCGGAGCAAAACACCCAACUGUAAUAUGAGCCGGAGGAGCCGCCGCACUGGAGAGUCCCCCCGCCGGUGAGUUUCAGUUUUCUACAUUUUUUUCGGCCAACCGAGGGCCCUAAGUGUGUUUUCUCGCAGUAACUGAUAUAAAUUUGGCUGAAUUUGGCCAAAAAUGACUAAAAAUAGCCAACCCGAGGUGAAU
rnacentral:lncRNA from 1 species